AAACCGUCAGAGGUAAACGGGUGGAUCCGCAAAGUCGGCCCGCGGAACUCAACUCGGCGCGCAGCUCGGGGCGUCGCGGCUCGGGAUCUCACGACCCGGCCGCGGCGCCUCGCCGGGCUCCGCCGUGUGCACUUUCCGCGGGCAGAGCGCCACGACCGGUUUCGAGGCGGCUACAAGCCUCCGAGGAAGGUAGGCGUGGGCGGCAACGCUCGCGCUGUUAAGCCUCGGGUGGCCAGCCGUCACGGGACCGAGGAACGACCGCGUCGGCCUUCGUGGCUACCCGGCCUUCCGUGGGAGUACGACUGGUGGGGACUGGGCAACCGUGCCCGCCGACCGCUCCCGCGCGACGGCCCGGGCUACGGGACA
rnacentral:rRNA from 1 species